GAUGAACGCUGGCCGCGUGCCUAAUACAUGCAAGUCGAGCGAACAGACGAGGAGCUUGCUCCUCUGACGUUAGCGGCGGACGGGUGAGUAACACGUGGAUAACCUACCUAUAAGACUGGGAUAACUUCGGGAAACCGGAGCUAAUACCGGAUAAUAUAUUGAACCGCAUGGAUCAAUAGUGAAAGACGGUUUUGCUGUCACUUAUAGAUGGAUCCGUGCCGCAUUAGCUAGUUGGUAAGGUAACGGCUUACCAAGGCAACGAUGCGUAGCCGACCUGAGAGGGUGAUCGGCCACACUGGAACUGAGACACGGUCCAGACUCCUACGGGAGGCAGCAGUAGGGAAUCUUCCGCAAUGGGCGAAAGCUUGACGGAGCAACGCCGCGUGAGUGAUGAAGGUCUUCGGAUCGUAAAACUCUGUUAUUAGGGAAGAACAAAUGUGUAAGUAACUAUGCACGUCCUGACGGUACCUAAUCAGAAAGCCACGGCUAACUACGUG
rnacentral:rRNA from 1 species